UGGGGAAUAUUGGACAAUGGGGGGAACCCUGAUCCAGCCAUGCCGCGUGUGUGAAGAAGGCCUUAUGGUUGUAAAGCACUUUAAGCGAGGAGGAGGCUACUUUAGUUAAUACCUAGAGAUAGUGGACGUUACUCGCAGAAUAAGCACCGGCUAACUCUGUGCCAGCAGCCGCGGUAAUACAGAGGGUGCAAGCGUUAAUCGGAUUUACUGGGCGUAAAGCGCGCGUAGGCGGCUAAUUAAGUCAAAUGUGAAAUCCCCGAGCUUAACUUGGGAAUUGCAUUCGAUACUGGUUAGCUAGAGUGUGGGAGAGGAUGGUAGAAUUCCAGGUGUAGCGGUGAAAUGCGUAGAGAUCUGGAGGAAUACCGAUGGCGAAGGCAGCCAUCUGGCCUAACACUGACGCUGAGGUGCGAAAGCAUGGGGAGCAAACAGG
rnacentral:rRNA from 1 species